rnacentral:rRNA from 1 species
AUUAAACGCUGGCGGCAUGCCUUACACAUGCAAGUCGAACGGUAGCGCGGGGCAACCUGGCGACGAGUGGCGAACGGGUGAGUAAAGCAUCGGAACGUGCCCUGGAAUGGGGGAUAACGUAGCGAAAGUUACGCUAAUACCGCAUAUUCUGUGAGCAGGAAAGCAGGGGAUCGCAAGACCUUGCGUUCUGGGAGCGGCCGAUGUCGGAUUAGCUAGUUGGUGGGGUAAAAGCCUACCAAGGCGACGAUCCGUAGCGGGUCUGAGAGGAUGAUCCGCCACACUGGGACUGAGACACGGCCCAGACUCUUACGGGAGGCAGCAGUGGGGAAUUUUGGACAAUGGGCGGGAGCCUGAUCCAGCCAUGCCGCGUGAGUGAAGAAGGCCUUCGGUUGUAAA